CGUUGUGAUCUCUACCUGCCCUUGACUGGCUUUUGGUCUCUGCCUUCUGUCUUCAGAUCCCGUCUAUGCCUCGUUGACCACUCACCCGAGUUCGCUUCUUGCCUCGUGUUCUGGAUUUGGUCGCUGUGGGACUGACUUAUUUAACUUCUACUUGGACUGCCUGACUUUCCUUUUGCUUCUCCCCGAGAUGGUUCUGAGCCAAGCAGCUUGCAUUGUUUUGCUUGUCAAUAAAGCAAAUUAAGCAUUUCUCUGCUCUUGGGUCCUUCCUUCCAGAUUUCUGACACCACACACUGGCCAAACAUGGACCCAGCGGAGGAAUCUCCCCUACGAUCAGCUAUGGAGCUUCAGGGUGUCAUGAUGUGCCAUCAUGAAGAGGAUUUGGUGAAUACGAAUCAGACUGGAGUGCCUUACAGCGAGUCAAUUCAAACAGAUUCAGCGCUUUGAACCAGAGUUUGCGCCACCAGCGCCAACCACCUCCAAUCUAUCUCAUGAGCCUCGGGUGAAAAAUGCAAGUAGCCUUGAGGCUGUUGGCGGCUCUUCAACAAGGCAAGCACUCAGUGGCGGAAUAUGCCAUCGAGUUUAGGACCCUGGUGCCUACUAUGGAAUCCUGAGGCGCUGGCAUCAUCAUUUAAAUGAAGGUCUUUACUGUGCCGGUCAAGGUCAGCUGGUUUUAUCUUGUCCAGUAAAAGCCUGCGCUCAUCUGUAACCAGGGGAGUCCUGGCAAAAGGUAUCUCAGUCUCCCCAUCCCAGGGCUCACGCAUACUACCUCAUGUGACUGUAUUCUGGAAUGAUGUCGUUUUAGUGUUCUGUGCUCAUUGACUCGAGAGCAGAGGGGAACUUAAUUGAUGAAAAAUGGGCCUUCUCAUCCUGUACCUUUAUCUCCCCAUCUCCAUUCACUCACUGGAUGGGCACCGAAUCAUGACCGUAACUGGCCCGCAGGAGGAGGAGAUUGACCUAUCCCAAGUUCCUGUCAUAUACCACAAUCUGCGACCGGUCUUCAGUAGGUCUCGAGCUGCCUCUCUUCCGCCCUAUUGCACUUAUGAUUGUGCGAUGAUCAAUUUCCUUCCAGGCCUCUCUCCUUGUCUACUCCUGAAUGGGCGGCCAUGGAGAAAUAUUUGAUAUUGUUCUAAAAAUAUGAAUAUUGUUUUAAUUACACCUGAUUCGGCACAGCAGUUUGUGGUGGAGGUUGAUGUCUCAGAGGAAUCGGUGAAGUUCUUUCUCAAAUAUACCCUCUUGAUGAUAAGCUAUACCCCUGUGCUUAUUACUCACACCGUUUGUCUCCCGGAGAGCAAAAUUAGGACAUCGUAAUUGAGAGCUGAUGUUGGUGCAUCUGGCUCUGGGGGAGUGCCGUCAUUGAUUGGAGGGGACGACCAUUCCUUUUGUAGUGUGGACUGACCAUGAGAACCUGGAGUACAUUCGGUCUGCUAAACUGAAUGCCAGAAAAGCCCGUUGGGCAUUGUUCUUGCACUUCGACUUCAUCUUGUCUUUUAGGCCGGACUCCAAAAAUGGCAGACCUGACACCUUGUUGCGAUGCUCCGCUUCCUUAGGUGAUUCAUCUCCUUCUGAUACCAUCUUGCCUUCAGGCCGUGUGAUGGGGCGAUCACCUGGGGAAAUGUCGCGUUUGGGGAGCCCAUUCUGGAGUCGAGAUGCCCCCCCUCAUUCCUCACUUUCCUUCCAGAUUUCUGACAGUCUGGCGCUAAGUCAUACAUCGCAGUUAAAUGCUACAUUUUGUUUUUAGAAUCUUGGCAGAGGGAAUUAGCAACGUCUUUUUUCGCUGUAUUCCGAAAUACAUUGGUUUAUCCUAAACAUCCUCUCCUAAAUGAAGUGUUGCACAUGACGAGUCAUUCUAGUGAAUCAGUUAAUUUGUAUGGUUCAUGUAAUUGAAAAGAUUCACAAAAAUGAUUAAUCGAUUUGAGUCCCUGUACUGUCUUAUGUUUUCGACAUAAAUUAGGGUGUUUUAGUUGUAUUUAUUAUAAAUUUACCUGUUCGAGUUUGAUACUGUUAUCCUGUUCAUUCACUCAGAAAUUGUUCAAUAUGGCUCUAAUAUGGCAUCUUUUGGUAUUUAGGUUUAUUUAAAUUAAAAAAAAAAAAAAAUGUAUUGCCCACUCAGGGCCACAUCUCAACAAAGACAUCUGUUUUGAGGGCUAUUUGUUGUUCAGGGAUACUACAAAUUCAAAAGAAUCCUACUCUUUUUCUUGUUCUAUUGAUCUGUCUCUACACAGGUCCUCCAAAGAUCCUUGAUAUAACUGAGAGAAAUAAUUCAGCAUUACCUGUUUAAGAAAUGAACAUUGUGUGUGAAAGAGCGGAAGUGAGACUGUGUGAAUAAGACUUUAAAGGAGGAAUCCAAUGUUCCAAAAUGAGAGCUAGAACUUUUAAAUGGCCCUCUGCAAGACCUCAUUCACUGUGAUGACUGCACUAUUCUAUAAAAAUGGACUAAUAUUCAACAACCAUGAGAGCACUUUCGCUGUGCUUCACUCAGCAUGGAUGUGACUUAACAGCAUUUAAAAUUUUUGACCAUAGUGGAGAGGAAAAUGGGUGCUGGUUUAUGGUGAAUGUAGAAAGAACAUUUGAACUUCAGAAAUAAGCCUGCUUUUGGACCUUCCCUGACACACUCUCUCUCUCUCUCUCUCUCUCUCUGUCUCUCUCUCUCUCUCUCUCUCUCUGUGGUUCAGGUAUACCUUAAGUUAUGGGGACAAAAAUUUGGUCGUCAUGAGGAAAACAGCAUAUAAAUCAUACAGAAUGAUGGUAUUUUAAAAUGUAAAAUACAGAAAGUUUUCUGUGAUGGGUAGGUUUAGGGUUAGGGCAGGGGUGUCCAAUACUGCUCAUGGAGGGCCACUGUUCUGCAGACUUUAGCUCCAACCCCAAUUAAACACCUGAACCAGCUAAUCAAGGUUUUUAGGCAUUAAGGAAACUUCCAGGCAAAUGUGUUGUGGUAAACUGGAGCUAAACUCUGCAGGACAGUGGCCCUCCGGGACCGGGUUUUUGGACAUCCCUGGGUUAGGGGAUAGAAUAUACAGUUUGAACAGUAUAAAAAUCAUUAUGUCUAUGGAAAGUCCCAAAUUAUGAGGACAUUUAGUUCUCACUAUUUGAACUGCUUCCCCUCAAUGGGAAUACAUAUAGGACCCUGAAAAACACACAUUUUACACAAUGCAAUGUGGUUAUUGUACCAGCACAUUUUGUAUUUAUAUGCAAAUAUAAAUAUCUAAUAUUUUGUCACAACUUUCACUUUCUGCCCUCAGAAGUUGUGGAUCUGCCAUUUGUUAGAUCUGUGAAUUGAGAGCAGUGAAAGUACAUUUUACGAAUAAAUAUGCAAAGGAAGAUUAGAUUAUAGUACACCACAAUAAUAUUAAUGUAAUAACAGUAUAUGAUAAUAGUAAUGAUAUUUCCUUAAUAAUAAUAGUAAUGAUAUUUCCUUAAUGGUCAAUAUAUAAUAUAUAAUAAAAUUCACAAGAA